rnacentral:rRNA from 1 species
AUCUUGGAGAGUUUGAUCCUGGCUCAGGACGAACGCUGGCGGCGUGCUUAACACAUGCAAGUCGAACGAAGAGCGAUGGAAGCUUGCUUCUA